UCGUGACAAACACUCAGAAUAUUUUGUGAAAAAGAAGGUCCAAACAAAACAUCAGAUAUGUACCUGUGUCCAGAUUAGCUUUGUGUUCGAACUUUCCCUAUACCAUAUGCUUGUAGGUAACCACCAUUCCUUAUUAUGACUCUUGAUCAAUGGUUCUUAUCAACAUCAAUAAACACAACUUCAGAAAGUGCAAUAUACCGUGAGCUGCCAUUAUCAAGGAAUCAUUCACAGUUUUCAAGGUCACUUUCAGAAUCUGACUGAGCCAUGAACAAAACUUCUUCAGCUAAUUCUGAGCUUUUAUUUGUCUGUGCAGGUUUAUCUUCAAUUGUUCUAUUCUUGCACACUUUAUCAAAAUGUCCUAAUUGACUACAUAUUUUGCAUUUUGCAUCUAGCCUAAACCAGCAAUAGUCAUUAGUAUGAUUCCUUUUCUUAUAGAAAGAACAUGGCUUG
rnacentral:lncRNA from 1 species